rnacentral:rRNA from 1 species
UAAGGAAUAUUGGUCAAUGGGGGCAACCCUGAACCAGCCAUGCCGCGUGCAGGAUGAAGGCCCUAUGGGUCGUAAACUGCUUUUAUACCGGAGAAAACCCGAGUACGUGUACUCGGUUGAUAGUAUGGUAAGAAUAAGCAUCGGCUAACUUCGUGCCAGCAGCCGCGGUAAGACGAAGGAUGCAAGCGUUAUCCGGAUUCAUUGGGUUUAAAGGGUGCGUAGGCGGACUUGUAAGUCAGUGGUGAAAUCUCUUUGCUUAACAAAGAAACUGCCAUUGAUACUGCAGGUCUAGAGUAUAGAUAACGUUGGCGGAAUAUGACAUGUAGUGGUGAAAUACUUAGAUAUGUCAUAGAACACCGAUUGCGAAGGCAGCUAACGAAACUAUAACUGACGCUGAGGCACGAAAGUGCGGGGAUCAAACAGGAUUAGAUACCCCAGUAGUCCCUGAGCGGGCUGGCAAGGCGCAU